UAAUACGUAGGGGGCGAGCGUUGUCCGGAUUUAUUGGGCGUAAAGAGCUCGUAGGCGGCUUGGCAAGUCGGGUGUGAAACCUCCAGGCUCAACCUGGAGACGCCACUCGAUACUGCCAUGGCUAGAGUCCGGUAGGGGACCACGGAAUUCCUGGUGUAGCGGUGAAAUGCGCAGAUAUCAGGAGGAACACCGGUGGCGAAGGCGGUGGUCUGGGCCGGCACUGACGCUGAGGAGCGAAAGCGUGGGUAGCAAACAGGAUUAGAUACCCUGGUAGUCCACGCCGUAAACGAUGGGCACUAGGUGUGGGAGGUGUCGACUCCUCCCGUGCCGGAGCUAACGCAUUAAGUGCCCCGCCUGGGGAGUACGGCCGCAAGGCUA
rnacentral:rRNA from 1 species